GAUUUGUAGCCGAAAAGGCGACAAUUAGUAGGCUGUGGAAUCGAUUAAAAGCAGAUUUUUGAGCACCAAAAAUGUGCUAGAAAAAUAUUGUGUGAAAUAUUCAGUUCACAUUUAUUUUUCAGUGGGUCGAAAAGCAAAUGAAAAAUACACAAAAUACAAUUUUUUUUGUUUGACAUUUUAAAAUGGCUUCCCAGUUUGCUCACCUGGGAAUGCCACUACCACCACAGUUAAAUGAUUUAUAAUAACGUUGGGUUUCCAUAAUGGAAACCCCUAUCCUACACUCCUACUCAUGGCCACAUUUGUUUAAUCGUUUCUUAAACAUGGCAUCCCCUACUUAUGGCGGAAUUUGUUUAAUCGUUUCUUAAACAUGCAAUACUGCUCGCUUCCAAUAGCCCGCUACCAAAUGCUACACUAAACUACCGCACCUAUUGCGGUACCAAGUCUAGGAUAUUCGGUGUCUUCCACAGAGACGACUACAUCUUCAUUUGCGGCUGGACCGCAAUGAUAGAGGAUACAAUACAACUUUAAUGAAAUGAGCCCACGUUCUUGUUAUCAA